rnacentral:tRNA from 1 species
GCGAAAAUAGCUCAGUUGGUUAGAGCGUCGGUUUGUGGUACCGAAGGUCGUGGGUUCGAGCCCCAUUUUUCGCCCCA